rnacentral:rRNA from 1 species
UACGGAGGGUGCAAGCGUUAUCCGGAUUCACUGGGUUUAAAGGGUGCGUAGGCGGGUAGGUAAGUCAGUGGUGAAAUCUUCGAGCUUAACUCAGAAACUGCCGUGGAUACUAUUUGCCUUGAAUAUUGUGGAGGUGAGCGGAAUAUGUCAUGUAGCGGUGAAAUGCUUAGAUAUGACAUAGAACACCAAUUGCGAAGGCAGCUCACUACACAAUGAUUGACGCUGAGGCACGAAAGCGUGGGGAUCAAACAGG